AAAUGAAUUGAUUAUAAUUUGACCAAAACUCUCUCCGAAUUUAACAGUAGAUAAUAAGAAAAUGUGAUAGCCAAACAAUUGCCUUUCAUUUGCCAAAUUCAAACAACAAUCAAGCCCAAUAAAAUUGCCAAAGCUUAAACUAAGGUUUAAAAUGCAACCAUACAAGUACUAAAAUAAAUUGAAAUUUGAAAUAUACCUGUGCAACAUCCUUAGAAAAU
rnacentral:misc_RNA from 1 species